rnacentral:rRNA from 1 species
ACGGAAGGCAGCAGUGGGGAAUAUUAGGCAAUGGGGGCAACCCUGACCUAGCAACGCCGCGUGAAGGAUGAAGGUUUUCGGAUUGUAAACUUCUUUUAUAAGGGACGAAGAAAGUGACGGUACCUUAUGAAUAAGCCACGGCUAACUACGUGCCAGCAGCCGCGGUAAUACGUAGGUGGCAAGCGUUAUCCGGAUUUACUGGGUGUAAAGGGCGCGUAGGCGGGGAUGCAAGUCAGGUGUGAAAUCUAUGGGCUUAACUCAUAAACUGCAUUUGAAACUGUAUCUCUUGAGUGCUGGAGAGGUAGAUGGAAUUCCUUGUGUAGCGGUGAAAUGCGUAGAUAUAAGGAAGAACACCAGUGGCGAAGGCGAUCUACUGGACAGUAACUGACGCUGAGGCGCGAAAGCGUGGGGAGCAAACAGGAUUAGAUACCCUGGUA